rnacentral:tRNA from 1 species
GCCAGUUUGGUAUAGUGGUUUGAGUAUUGGACUAUGACUCUGGAGACCACGGUUCGAAUCCUACUUGGCC